CUUCUAAGCAACUCAAAACUGCAGAGAAGCUGCUGACCUGCACUGGGAGUCCAGUAUGAAAAGAAAACCCAGAGGAAAAAGAAUGAGACAUGAGGCCAGAAGGAUCAUCAGGAGAAUGGGAAAGUCUCUCCAAUAUCCUACUUGGGGGUUCUGAGGCUCAAAAAGAUUUUAUGAUGUGCCUAAUGUUCACAAAGUGAUAUGAAGACACCAGACCCCACUGGAGAAGGAUAAGAAGAUCUCAGAGAAGCAGGAGAGAAGGAAGUUUAAAAAAUAUGUGCCAGAAGUUCCCCAUACCCUGACUUUCAGGACUCAGUCUAUUCCUACCUCAACAACUGACUGUUUUCCCCCUAAGACAAUGCAUUUAAUUCACACUCAGCACAAGCCAAACCCAGCUGGUGACUGUCUUGACAGGAAGAAAGAGAGAGAAAAAUAAACAAUGGAAUAGACCAGAUGUAAUUGUUCAUUCUUGGAGCCACCCACAGUCCCCAUCAAGCUACAGAAGAUUUCCCAACAGAAAGCAAGAAUAAGAUCUAAUCAAAAGCAUAAAUGCUGCUACAUACCCAAAUAAUUCAUGUUGGACAAAGUUUUGUUCCUGCUCUUUGACCUCUGAUGGGUCUUGAAUGAACUCAUUUUACAGAAUGCUAUCGAGAAGUAUUCAUUGUUUACAAGGCAUAUCAGAGUGAGAAUUUUUAGUCCUUGCUUUCCUGGUCCCAUUCUGAGCCUAGUGAGAAUUUCCCAAAUGGGAUGGCCUCAAGGAGAAUGAAGUAAAAGAGAGAUAAGGAAGAUGGCAACCAGAAGGGGACCACAUGGGGGUGGGAGUAGGGUAUGGCUGGGGUCAUCUCUGGAGAACAAAUAAGUACCUGCUGACUAUGGACCAUUUCAUAGGAAUGUUUUCAUUGUUUGAGUUGAGCUAGCCAUGGCAAAUGACUCUCCCUCUAUAUUGGCUCUAACUGAGGCAAGUGGAAACAGGCUAGCCCUCCAGGGACUGCCCUGAGGAAUAAAUAGACUUGUGGCAGGGUGGAGUUACCUCUGACAAACUGGCUGGACAAAUCCAUAAAAUUUUGACUGACUAAUUUGGAGGGAUUUAAGUCCUUACUCCCUUUCCUUUCCCUUCUUCCCUCAAAAGUACACAAAGAACAAUUUCUGCCCUAAAUCUCUUGAGAUUAUGUUCUAUUUUCCCUAUAGUUAUCCAAAUUCAUAAUGUAGGGUUGCUGUGCAAAUAAUGAAACCCUGAACCAGUGUUUCUACUAUAAACAGAAAUAAGCAGGAAGACUUCUCCCCUCCACCAAUAACCUUUCACCACCAGAGUCAAAAACAUCAACCCAAGACAGAAUAAGUAAGGCCUGGGUAGAAUGAACCAAUAUAAUACAAAUGACAAUACUGCCUAAAUUAAUUUUCCUCUUCGUGCCAUACCAAUCAAACUAUCUAAGAUUUACUUUGUAGAACUAGAAAAAAAAAACAACCAAAUGUAUUCAAAGGAACAAAAGGUCAAAGAUGUCAAGGGAAUCAAUGAAACUAAAUGGGAAGGAAAGGGACCUAGUAGUUAUAGAUCUCAAAUUAUACUACAAAGCUGUAAUUGUCAAAAACAGUUUGUUACUGGGUAAGAAAUAGAAAAGUUGAUCAGUGGAACAGAUUAGCUACACGAUAUACAGAGCAAAUGAAUAUGUAAUCUAGUGUUUGACAAACCCAAAGAUUCCAGCUAUUGGGGCAAGAACUCGCUGCUCAACAAAACUGUUGGGAAAACUGAAGAGAAGUCUGAUAGAAACUAGGUAUAGACCAAUAUCUCACACUGUACACUAAGAUAAAUUCAAAUUGGGUAUAGAGGGUGACAUCAUAAACAAAUUAGUAGAGCAUGAAAGAAAUUGCAUAUCAGAUCCAUGGAUAAGAGAAUUCAUGAACCAAACAAGAGAUAAAGAGAUACAUAAGAGGUCAAAUGAAUCAUUUUGAUUACAUAAUGUUAAAAAAGAGUUAUACAAUAAAAAUAAUGCAGCUAAAAGUAGAAGAAAAGCAAGAAAUAUGGAGAGGGGAAAUAUUUGCAGCCAAUGUCUCUGAUAAAGGUCUCAUUUCUAAGAUAUAUAGGGAACUGAGUCAAAUUGACAAGAAUAAGAGUCACUGGCUAAUUGAUAAGUUACCAAAGGAUAAGAAUUUAUUUUUUUAGUGGGAAGAAUCCAAAAAUAUUCUAAAUUCCUAAUAAUUGUAGUAAUGCAAAUUAAAACAACUCUAAGAUACCAUCUCAUACUAAUCAGUAUAUAUAUAAUAACAAAAAAAGAAAA